rnacentral:rRNA from 1 species
GAUGAACGCUGGCGGCGUGCCUAAUACAUGCAAGUCGAGCGAACAGACGAGGAGCUUGCUCCUCUGACGUUAGCGGCGGACGGGUGAGUAACACGUGGAUAACCUACCUAUAAGACUGGGAUAACUUCGGGAAACCGGAGCUAAUACCGGAUAAUAUAUUGAACCACAUGGUUCAAUAGUGAAAGACGGUUUUGCUGUCACUUAUAGAUGGAUCCGCGCCGCAUUAGCUAGUUGGUAAGGUAACGGCUUACCAAGGCGACGAUGCGUAGCCGACCUGAGAGGGUGAUCGGCCACACUGGAACUGAGACACGGUCCAGACUCCUACGGGAGGCAGCAGUAGGGAAUCUUCCGCAAAGGGCGAAAGCCUGACGGAGCAACGCCGCGUGAGUGAUGAAGGUCUUCGGAUCGUAAAACUCUGUUAUUAGGGAAGAACAAAUGUGUAAGUAACUAUGCACGUCUUGACGGUACCUAAUCAGAAAGCCACGGCUAACUACGUG